rnacentral:rRNA from 1 species
ACUCCUACGGGAGGCAGCAGUGGGGAAUAUUGCACAAUGGGCGCAAGCCUGAUGCAGCCAUGCCGCGUGUAUGAAGAAGGCCUUCGGGUUGUAAAGUACUUUCAGCAGUGAGGAAGGCGGGUACGUUAAUAGCGUGCUCGUUUGACGUUAGCUGCAGAAGAAGCACCGGCUAACUCCGUGCCAGCAGCCGCGGUAAUACGGAGGGUGCGAGCGUUAAUCGGAAUUACUGGGCGUAAAGCGCAUGCAGGUGGUUUGUUAAGUCAGAUGUGAAAGCCCGGGGCUCAACCUCGGAAUUGCAUUUGAAACUGGCAGACUAGAGUACUGUAGAGGGGGGUAGAAUUUCAGGUGUAGCGGUGAAAUGCGUAGAGAUCUGAAGGAAUACCAGUGGCGAAGGCGGCCCCCUGGACAAGACUGACGCUCAGAUGCGAAAGCGUGGGAGCAAACAGGAUUAGAUACCCUGGUAGAUAGCG